rnacentral:rRNA from 1 species
AGCGAACGCUGGCGGCAGGCCUAACACAUGCAAGUCGAACGAACCUUUCGGGGUUAGUGGCGGACGGGUGAGUAACCCGUGGGAACGUGCCUUUAGGUUCGGAAUAACUCAGGGAAACUUGUGCUAAUACCGAAUGUGCCCUUCGGGGGAAAGAUUUAUCGCCUUUAGAGCGGCCCGCGUCUGAUUAGCUAGUUGGUUGAGGUAAUGGCUCACCAAGGCGACGAUCAGUAGCUGGUCUGAGAGGAUGAUCAGCCACAUUGGGACUGAGACACGGCCCAAACUCCUACGGGAGGCAGCAGUGGGGAAUCUUGCGCAAUGGGCGAAAGCCUGACGCAGCCAUGCCGCGUGAAUGAUGAAGGUCUUAGGAUUGUAAAAUUCUUUCACCGGGGACGAUAAUGACGGUACCCGGAGAAGAAGCCCCGGCUAACUUCGUG